GUACACGCUGUGACUAGCAUAUCAAUAAGCGGAGGAAAAGAAACUAACAAGGAUUCCCCUAGUAACGGCGAGUGAAGCGGGAAGAGCUCAAAUUUGAAAUCUUAAAGGGUUUCCCUUUACGAAUUGUAGUUUAAAGAGGUGUUUUCUGUUGAGGUUUUGGUAAAAGUUCUUUGGAAUAGGACAUCAUAGAGGGUGAGAAUCCCGUAUUUGACCUUUACUUUCAACUUUGUGAUACACUUUCAAAGAGUCGGAUUGUUUGGGAAUGCGAGUCCAAAAUGGGUGGUAAAUUUCAUCUAAAGCUAAAUAUUGGCGAGAGACCGAUAGCGAACAAGUACCGUGAGGGAAAGAUGAAAAGAACUUUGAAAGGAGAGUUAAACAGUACGUGAAAUUGUCAAAAGGGAAGCGUUUGACACCAGUGUUGUUUUUCUGAAAAUCAAUUAAAGAACUGUUUAUGCUAAGUCUGUUUAGACUUUAUCAGCUAUACUGUUUAGUUUUGAGCUUUUCUUUAAUGCACUUUUCAGUUAACUAAGUCAACAUCAAUUUCUUUUGCUGUAAAAAAGCUUGAGGAAGGUGGCUUGAGAUUCGUCUUAAGUGUUUAUAGCCUCUUGCCUAUGCAGUCGGAGAGAUUGAGGUCUGCAGCGUAGAUCCUUCAGGGGCUAAAUGCAUUUGUGCUAAGUUAUAGCAUUUUAUAGACAACUUGUUGACUAUGAUUUGUCUUGUAGCUUACUCGCUUAUGUUAUUUUACCUACGCUUAGGAUGUUGAAGAUGUAGCACAUCAU
rnacentral:rRNA from 1 species